rnacentral:rRNA from 1 species
CUCCUUUGACGUUAGCGGCGGACGGGUGAGUAACACGUGGGUAACCUACCUAUAAGACCGGGAUAACUUCGGGAAACCGGAGCUAAUACCGGAUAAUAUUUCGAACCGCAUGGUUCGAUAGUGAAAGGUGGUUUUGCUAUCACUUAUAGAUGGACCCGCGCCGUAUUAGCUAGUUGGUAAGGUAACGGCUUACCAAGGCGACGAUACGUAGCCGACCUGAGAGGGUGAUCGGCCACACUGGAACUGAGACACGGUCCAGACUCCUACGGGAGGCAGCAGUG